rnacentral:rRNA from 1 species
UACGGGGGGGGGUAAGCGUUGUUCGGAAUUACUGGGCGUAAAGGGCUCGUAGGCGGCCAACUAAGUCAGACGUGAAAUCCCUCAGCUUAACUGGGGAACUGCGUCUGAUACUGGAUGGCUUGGAUUUGGGAGAGGAAUGCGGAAUUCCAGGUGUAGCGGUAGAAAUGCGUAGAUAUCUGGAGGAACACCGGUGGCGAAGGCGGCAUUCUGGACCAAUAUUGACGCUGAGGAGCGAAAGCCAGGGGAGCAAACGGGG